GACGAACGCUGGCGGCGUGCCUAAUACAUGCAAGUCGAACGCUGAAGGAGGAGCUUGCUUCUCCGGAUGAGUUGCGAACGGGUGAGUAACGCGUAGGUAACCUGCCUGGUAGCGGGGGACAACUAUUGGAAACGAUAGCUAAUACCGCAUAAGAGUAGAUGUCGCAGGACAUUCGCUUAAAAGGUGCAUCUGAACCACUACUAGAUGGACCUGCGUAGUAUUAGCUAGUUGGUGAGGUAACGGCUCACCAAGGCAACGAUACAUAGCCGACCUGAGAGGGUGGGCGGCCACACUUGGACUGAGACACGGCCCCGACUCCUACGGGGGGGCGCCGGAGGGGAACUUCGGGAAUGGGCGGAAGUCUGACCGAGCAACGCCGCGUGAGUGAAGAAGGGUUUCGGGUCGUGAAGCUCUGUUGUAAGGGAAGAACGAGUGUGAGAGUGGAAAGUUCACACUGUGACGGUAUCUUACCAGAAAGGGACGGCUAACUACGUG
rnacentral:rRNA from 1 species